AGGCUUGAAUGCUGAAUGGGUGUGAAGAAGCCGAGGUGGGUGAGGAACCGAACCUGCGAGGCUUGAAUGCUGAAUGGCACAUGAAGAAGCCGAGGUGGGUGAGGAACCGAACCUGCGAGGCUUGAAGGUUGAAUAGGUGUGAAGAUGCCGAGGUCCAAUGGUAAUGAUUAUGCUUUGGUCUCUGUGCCAAUGAUUUGAUGUUUUGUGCUUGUUUUCGAGGAAAGGUAGCUAAACCGUUACGACUUCCAAGGCGCUGGCGCCGACGAAUUAAAAAUGCAAUUAUGAGCGCAGCUGGCGUUUCUAGAAGCAGACGCGUUGGAGAGGUGCGUGUGAGGUACGCAUAGAUAGGAGGCGUAGGAUUUCAAAAACUGUUUGAAUUCAACGCCUCGGAUUGGAUCUGAAAUGGAGGGCUCAGAUUGACUGAGAUUUGAUCUGA
rnacentral:lncRNA from 1 species